AGUGAACGCUGGCGGUAGGCCUAACACAUGCAAGUCGAACGGCAGCACAGUAAGAGCUUGCUCUUACGGGUGGCGAGUGGCGGACGGGUGAGGAAUACAUCGGAAUCUACUUUUUCGUGGGGGAUAACGUAGGGAAACUUACGCUAAUACCGCAUACGACCUACGGGUGAAAGCAGGGGAUCUUCGGACCUUGCGCGAUUGAAUUAGCCGAUGUCGGAUUAGCUAGUUGGCGGGGUAAAGGCCCACCAAGGCGACGAUCCGUAGCUGGUCUGAGAGGAUGGUCGGCCACACUGGAACUGAGACACGGUCAAGACUCCUACGGGAGGCAGCAGUGGGGAAUAUUGGACAAUGGGCGCAAGCCUGAUCCAGCCAUACCGCGUGGGUGAAGAAGGCCUUCGGGUUGUAAAGCCCUUUUGUUGGGAAAGAAAAGCAGCAGGUUAAUACCCCGCUGUUCUGACGGUACCCAAAGAAUAAGCACCGGCUAACUUCGUG
rnacentral:rRNA from 1 species